rnacentral:rRNA from 1 species
GGUUAAGCGACUAAGCGUACACGGUGGAUGCCCUGGCAGUCAGAGGCGAUGAAGGACGUGCUAAUCUGCGAUAAGCGUCGGUGAGGUGAUAUGAACCGUUAUAACCGGCGAUUUCCGAAUGGGGAAACCCAGUGUGAUUCGUCACACUAUCAUUAACUGAAUCCAUAGGUUAAUGAGGCGAACCGGGGAACUGAAACAUCUAAGUACCCCGAGGAAAAGAAAUCAACCGAGAUUCCCCCAGUAGCGGCGAGCGAACGGGGAGCAGCCCAGAGCCUGAAUCAGUGUGUGUGUUAGUGGAAGCGUCUGGAAAGGCGCGCGAUACAGGGUGACAGCCCCGUACACAAAAAUGCACAUAUUGUGAGCUCGAUGAGUAGGGCGGGACACGUGGUAUCCUGUCUGAAUAUGGGGGGACCAUCCUCCAAGGCUAAAUACUCCUGACUGACCGAUAGUGAACCAGUACCGUGAGGGAAAGGCGAAAAGAACCCCGGCGAGGGGAGUGAAAAAGAACCUGAAACCGUGUACGUACAAGCAGUGGGAGCACGCUUAGGCGUGUGACUGCGUACCUUUUGUAUAAUGGGUCAGCGACUUAUAUUCUGUAGCAAGGUUAACCGAAUAGGGGAGCCGAAGGGAAACCGAGUCUUAACUGGGCGUUAAGUUGCAGGGUAUAGACCCGAAACCCGGUGAUCUAGCCAUGGGCAGGUUGAAGGUUGGGUAACACUAACUGGAGGACCGAACCGACUAAUGUUGAAAAAUUAGCGGAUGACUUGUGGCUGGGGGUGAAAGGCCAAUCAAACCGGGAGAUAGCUGGUUCUCCCCGAAAGCUAUUUAGGUAGCGCCUCGUGAAUUCAUCUCCGGGGGUAGAGCACUGUUUCGGCAAGGGGGUCAUCCCGACUUACCAACCCGAUGCAAACUGCGAAUACCGGAGAAUGUUAUCACGGGAGACACACGGCGGGUGCUAACGUCCGUCGUGAAGAGGGAAACAACCCAGACCGCCAGCUAAGGUCCCAAAGUCAUGGUUAAGUGGGAAACGAUGUGGGAAGGCCCAGACAGCCAGGAUGUUGGCUUAGAAGCAGCCAUCAUUUAAAGAAAGCGUAAUAGCUCACUGGUCGAGUCGGCCUGCGCGGAAGAUGUAACGGGGCUAAACCAUGCACCGAAGCUGCGGCAGCGACGCUUAUGCGUUGUUGGGUAGGGGAGCGUUCUGUAAGCCUGUGAAGGUGUGCUGUGAGGCAUGCUGGAGGUAUCAGAAGUGCGAAUGCUGACAUAAGUAACGAUAAAGCGGGUGAAAAGCCCGCUCGCCGGAAGACCAAGGGUUCCUGUCCAACGUUAAUCGGGGCAGGGUGAGUCGACCCCUAAGGCGAGGCCGAAAGGCGUAGUCGAUGGGAAACAGGUUAAUAUUCCUGUACUUGGUGUUACUGCGAAGGGGGGACGGAGAAGGCUAUGUUGGCCGGGCGACGGUUGUCCCGGUUUAAGCGUGUAGGCUGGUUUUCCAGGCAAAUCCGGAAAAUCAAGGCUGAGGCGUGAUGACGAGGCACUACGGUGCUGAAGCAACAAAUGCCCUGCUUCCAGGAAAAGCCUCUAAGCAUCAGGUAACAUCAAAUCGUACCCCAAACCGACACAGGUGGUCAGGUAGAGAAUACCAAGGCGCUUGAGAGAACUCGGGUGAAGGAACUAGGCAAAAUGGUGCCGUAACUUCGGGAGAAGGCACGCUGAUAUGUAGGUGAAGUCCCUUGCGGAUGGAGCUGAAAUCAGUCGAAGAUACCAGCUGGCUGCAACUGUUUAUUAAAAACACAGCACUGUGCAAACACGAAAGUGGACGUAUACGGUGUGACGCCUGCCCGGUGCCGGAAGGUUAAUUGAUGGGGUCAGCGCAAGCGAAGCUCUUGAUCGAAGCCCCGGUAAACGGCGGCCGUAACUAUAACGGUCCUAAGGUAGCGAAAUUCCUUGUCGGGUAAGUUCCGACCUGCACGAAUGGCGUAAUGAUGGCCAGGCUGUCUCCACCCGAGACUCAGUGAAAUUGAACUCGCUGUGAAGAUGCAGUGUACCCGCGGCAAGACGGAAAGACCCCGUGAACCUUUACUAUAGCUUGACACUGAACAUUGAGCCUUGAUGUGUAGGAUAGGUGGGAGGCUUAGAAGUGUGGACGCCAGUCUGCAUGGAGCCGACCUUGAAAUACCACCCUUUAAUGUUUGAUGUUCUAACGUUGACCCGUAAUCCGGGUUGCGGACAGUGUCUGGUGGGUAGUUUGACUGGGGCGGUCUCCUCCUAAAGAGUAACGGAGGAGCACGAAGGUUGGCUAAUCCUGGUCGGACAUCAGGAGGUUAGUGCAAUGGCAUAAGCCAGCUUGACUGCGAGCGUGACGGCGCGAGCAGGUGCGAAAGCAGGUCAUAGUGAUCCGGUGGUUCUGAAUGGAAGGGCCAUCGCUCAACGGAUAAAAGGUACUCCGGGGAUAACAGGCUGAUACCGCCCAAGAGUUCAUAUCGACGGCGGUGUUUGGCACCUCGAUGUCGGCUCAUCACAUCCUGGGGCUGAAGUAGGUCCCAAGGGUAUGGCUGUUCGCCAUUUAAAGUGGUACGCGAGCUGGGUUUAGAACGUCGUGAGACAGUUCGGUCCCUAUCUGCCGUGGGCGCUGGAGAACUGAGGGGGGCUGCUCCUAGUACGAGAGGACCGGAGUGGACGCAUCACUGGUGUUCGGGUUGUCAUGCCAAUGGCACUGCCCGGUAGCUAAAUGCGGAAGAGAUAAGUGCUGAAAGCAUCUAAGCACGAAACUUGCCCCGAGAUGAGUUCUCCCUGACUCCUUGAGAGUCCUGAAGGAACGUUGAAGACGACGACGUUGAUAGGCCGGGUGUGUAAGCGCAGCGAUGCGUUGAGCUAACCGGUACUAAUGAACCGUGAGGCUUAACCUU